CUGUUCUCACUCUAGCAUCAUAUAUGCUAAAAUUAGGUCAGUAUAGAAAGAUUAACAUGGCCCUUGCUUAAGGAUGACUUGUAAAUUUAUGAAACAUCCCACAUGGGU